CCAGGUUGGAUUCUAUCUUUAAAUAAUUAAAAUGAUUUAGUACGAAAGGACCCAUUAUUUGUAAUAUUUAUUGUAUUUUUGAACAAAA
rnacentral:rRNA from 1 species